CGUGUAGGCGGCUUAACAGGCCAAAGGUGAAAUCCCUCGGCUCAACCGAGGAACUGCCUUUGAAACCUUUAGGCUAGAGGCCGGGAGAGGCUAGCGGAAUUCCCAGUGUAGCGGUGAAAUGCGUAGAUAUUGGGAGGAACACCAGUGGCGAAGGCGGCUAGCUGGACCGGUUCUGACGCUGAGGCGCGAAAGCGUGGGGAGCAAACAGGAUUAGAUACCCUGGUAGUCC
rnacentral:rRNA from 1 species